rnacentral:rRNA from 1 species
UACGAAGGGGGCUAGCGUUGCUCGGAAUUACUGGGCGUAAAGGGCGCGUAGGCGGACAGUUUAGUCAGAGGUGAAAGCCCAGGGCUCAACCUUGGAAUAGCCUUUGAUACUGAGGAUCUUGAGUCCGGGAGAGGUGAGUGGAACUGCGAGUGUAGAGGUGAAAUUCGUAGAUAUUCGGAAGAACACCAGUGGCGAAGGCGGCUCACUGGCCCGUUACCGACGCUCAGGCGCGACAGCGUGGGGAGCAAACAGG